rnacentral:rRNA from 1 species
UACGUAGGUGGCAAGCGUUGUCCGGAUUUACUGGGCGUAAAGAGCGCGCAGGCGGUCGGAUAAGUCGAAUGUGAAAGCCCCUGGCUCAACCAGGGAGGGUCAUUCGAUACUGUUCGACUCGAAGGCAGGAGAGGGAAGUGGAAUUCCGGGUGUAGUGGUGAAAUGCGUAGAUAUCCUGAGGAACACCAGUGGCGAAGGCGACUUUCUGGCCUGUUCUUGACGCUGAGGCGCGAAAGCUAGGGGAGCAAACGGG